UACGUAGGGGGCGAGCGUUGUCCGGAAUCAUUGGGCGUAAAGCGCGUGUAGGCGGCCCGGUAAGUCCGCUGUGAAAGUCCAGGGCUCAACCCUGGGAUGUCGGCGGAAACCGUCUGGCUAGAGUCCGGAAGAGGAGAGUGGAAUUCCUGGUGUAGCGGUGAAAUGCGCAGAUAUCAGGAAGAACACCUAUGGCGAAGGCAGCUCUCUGGGACGGUACUGACGCUGAGACGCGAAAGCGUGGGGAGCGAACAGG
rnacentral:rRNA from 1 species